CAACUUUUAACAACGGAUCUCUUGGUUCUCGCAUCGAUGAAGAACGUAGCAAAGUGCGAUAACUAGUGUGAAUUGCAUAUUCAGUGAAUCAUCGAGUCUUUGAACGCAACUUGCACUCAAUGGUAUUCCAUUGAGUACGCCUGUUUCAGUAUCAAAAA
rnacentral:rRNA from 1 species